GUGAAUCAUCAAAUCUUUGAACGCAUAUUGCACUCUCUGGUAUCCCGGAGAGUAUGCCUGUUUGAGGGUCAUUAAAAAGAAUCUCUAACCAAUUUUUUUGGUUAAAGGAUAUGAGUUCUUUGCGUGUAUAGCGGUAGUUUGUAAUAAAUGGUCAAGUCUCAUUUUAGUCGAGACGCGUAAUACUAUUAUUUCGCGAAAUCUUACUUAUGUGACUAUCAAGUUUUGAUGGAUACAAAUU
rnacentral:misc_RNA from 1 species